AGGCAUUGAGGGACCAGGGCACGGAUCCAUGAACUAGGCUACUUACCACGUUCGUAGACCCUGCCCUCCUCCCUCCAGCCU
ensembl:miRNA